CGAGAAUACGGCCAAACUUGAAAAGACUUUGGUGUUGCUGUCUGGUUAGGCUGAGCAGGAGUUCACAGCUAAGAGUUUGCCUUGAGCCUCAGAAGAGACUUUGGACUUGGAGUAUUCAGCACUGCUAAAACUGUUAAAAUUUUAACAAUUCUUAGAGGGAUGGACUAAAUGUAUUUUGCAUAAUGAGAUAUGAUUGUGCAGCCCUUAUAUGAAGACCUAGACCGAAAGAAAUCAGAAUGUGAGGCCUGAGAAGACUUUCCCAAGGUUGGCUAUAUGAGAGAAUCAUUCAUCUGCUAUGUUACUUCCACUGCUACCAUUUCCAAAAGUUCAGCUGCGUGGCUUUUGAUUUCUUCCACCUCAAUGCCUUCUGGAUUUGCCUUCUGGGGUGGGCGCUGCCUGUCUCAGGAGACGUCCUUGGUACCAGCAUCUUUUUCUUCAGACCUGCCAUCUGUUCCAGUGAAUAAUUCUACCAACCACGUUUUCCAUGAUUUGCCUCAUUAUGUCUCCACGUCCUUUACACACAUAGAACAUGAUGUCUGGCACACUGAAUAAGCUGUCUACUAGACAUUAUGGCAACAUGUAAUCAACAAGGUCAACCUGAGAAACAGUAGUGGAAUGGAGGGUCAGAAAGAUGGCUUUGCUCCUAAGAUGCAGAUCCUUGAUCCUUCGACCAUCUCUAGCCCUUGCUGAGCACAGCUGUAUAAAGAUUUGAGGGGGAUCAAACUCAGAACCUUGCACUCGUGAGGCAGGCGACAGCACCACUGAGGUAGGCUUACAAUGGCUGCCUGAAGAGUCAGAUGUGGAAGAAUGCAAAGGGAUGUCUGCAUGUUGGAGAUCCAAGGAUCCACUCAAAAGUCAAAAGCCUGGAAAUCACUACAGAGUCCUGCGUGAGUCCAUAUCAGGAAGCAGAAGAGCCUGCACUAGAAGUCUGGAGAUGAAUGUUCAAAGAUGAUGGUGAAGAUGAGCUCCUCCAAAGAAGCUGAAGCCAUACCUCCUCCUCUUCAUUUUUAUUUCAUCCAGGUUUCAAGCCUAUUGGCUGGUGCCACCAACACCCAGUGUGGGUCUUCUCUCUUUAGUAACUCCAUUAUCCAGACACACCCAGAACUAUGCUAAGCCAAUCAGCCAGAUACUUUUUUAUUCAAGUUGACACCACAAUUAACUAUCACAUCUUGGGAUCAAGGCAACCUGUGAGCUUAUGUGAUGGACUAUAUUCAGGGAACUAAUCCUUUGUUCAAAAGAAGGGAUAUAGGCUUUUCCUCUUUUAUUUUUACUUUCUUGAGAGAAAAAGGUAAAAUUACUAAUCAAUUUUCAAAGUUUGACAAAACAUUGUGACAAAAACAUUGUGUUCACAGACUCAAUAUGCA
rnacentral:lncRNA from 1 species